rnacentral:rRNA from 1 species
AACGAACGCUGGCGGCAGGCCUAACACAUGCAAGUCGAGCGCCCCGCAAGGGGAGCGGCGGACGGGUGAGUAACACGUGGGAACGUACCCUUUGCUACGGAAUAGUCUCGGGAAACUGGGGGUAAUACCGUAUGUGCCCUUCGGGGGAAAGAUUUAUCGGCAAAGGAUCGGCCCGCGUUGGAUUAGGUAGUUGGUGGGGUAAUGGCCUACCAAGCCGACGAUCCAUAGCUGGUUUGAGAGGAUGAUCAGCCACACUGGGACUGAGACACGGCCCAGACUCCUACGGGAGGCAGCAGUGGGGAAUCUUAGACAAUGGGCGCAAGCCUGAUCUAGCCAUGCCGCGUGAGCGAUGAAGACCUUAGGGGUUGUAAAGCUCUUUCAGUGGGGAAGAUAAUGACUGUACCCACAGAAGAAGCCCCGGCUAACUCCGUG